rnacentral:lncRNA from 12 species
GGAAGGAAUCUUUGGGAAGCGUGCUGGCUAGAUUGAGGACUGAGGAAAAGAUUGCAAACCAGGCUCAAAAAAAUGAUGGACAUUUGCAGAAGCUAAGGCACCAAGAACAUAGCUGUUCAGUGGGAGCUCCAGUGACCGGUAUGCCUCGCCAUCUCUCCAAACCUCAUAAUCCCAACUGGUUUACUUCAUUGGGAUUUUGUGAGAUCAAAUGAGAUCACGGAUUUGAACAUCAUCUAUAACCCUAAAUGUACUCAUGUUGCCAAUAACCAUCAACAACAGGGAAAUCUCUCUCUGCGCUAAUUGCUGUCAGCAUCCAUCAGGAUCGCCGAGAGAGCAACAUCCCAGCCAGAGGGGCCUUGGGCUGGAGCUCCAUCACCAGGAGACGGCCUCCCUGGGAAGGCCCGGGGACCGGACGCCGCUGCAUCUGCUGGGCGUCUCCACCGGGAGGUGCCAAGGAGGCGCACACAGCCCCAGCCUGGGGGGCCAGCAGGCCCACCGACCCUACCUGGGAGCCCCUGGCUCUGGGGGAGCCCUGAGCAACCACGUGGGGGGCCCGGGGCGGCUGGGCUACGGGGCACCGGCUUCCAUCAGCCUCUUAGACCAGUCCCCGUUUAUCUCCUUUAGAUCUCAGGCCAGCCCCGAGAGGUUCUGUCAAAGGGGUUCUGCUGGAUUCAAAUAG